AAUCUUUUGCCUUUUAAUGGAGGCUAGUAUGAAUGGCAAGACGGAGGUUUAGCUGUCUCUCUUUUAGAAACUUGAAUUUAUUAUUCUUGUGAAGAAACGGGAAUAAAGUCGUAGGACGAGAAGACCCUAUCGAGCUUUAGUUAUAAGUUAAAGUUGAUAGUUUUUUGUUGUCAGGCUAAUAAAGUUAAGGUUUAAUUUUACUUGGCAAUGAGAAUAAGUUGUUGGCAAAAUGCUUUGGUUGGGGCAACCGCGGAGAAAAAUUACCCUCCGCUUGUAAAUAAAAAUUACUAUUUUGUAAAUCUAAAUGGUUGAGAAGUGAUCCACUGAAGAAGUGAUCAAAGGAACAAGUUACCGUAGGGAUAACAGCGUAAUUUUUUUGGAGAGUUCAUAUUGAUAAAAAAGUUUGCGACCUCCAUGUUGGAUCGGGACUUCCAGG
rnacentral:rRNA from 1 species